rnacentral:rRNA from 1 species
CCCUUAGACGCUCUAGGCGGCACGCGCGCUACAAUGGGUGGUAGAACGUGUAACUGCUCCCGAAAGGGAGGGUGAACCACGAAUACUUACCCGUGAAUGGGAUAGUUUGUUGCAAUUUUCGGACUUGAACUAGGAAUCCCUUGUAAGAAUGCUCAAGAAUAGCGUGCUGAAUACGUCCCUGCCGUUUGUACACACCGCCCGUCGUUUCUUCCGACUGAUACUCAUUGUGAGUUGCAAGGAUUCUUAUUGAAAAAUUGCUGCGAAUGCUUUAGAGGAAGGAGAAGUCGUAACA